ACUUCUAUAAAUGUUCCUAGACUACCCGGCCAACCAGCCAUCCAAAAGGGGCAAACCUUCGUCCAUCGUUGGAUUGGAUUGCUGCAGUGAUUCUCCAAUCCCACUUUUCACCACAGCCGUCCGAUCUGUCAUUUUUUUUCUCACUCGCUCAGCAUUCCCAUGAAGUCCAUGACGCAUGGGGCCAACUACGUGCAAGGCCCGACGGUCAGAGACAGCCACGGAUGCUCGUUCUCGUCGCCUUCGGUCUCCAACCACGCAGGAUGGUGAAAACCUAGAUCGGGAGUGCCCGAUUCACUCCCCAAUCCCCGUCCAUCCGCUCCUCCCCAAUCCCAUCUCUCCUCCUCCCCAACCAUGGCGGCGCGCUCGUUCCUCCAGCCUUCCACCCGCGGCUGCAUCCCGACGACAGCGGUUGGAUGGCGACUGUCAGGGGUGGCGGACGACAUUGUGUGCCGAUUGAGGGCAGCACGGAGAAGAAGCAGCGGGGGCGGCGCGGAGAAGAAGCAGCAGGGCGGCGACCCCACGACCUCCAGCAUCCUCACCUCCUCAAGCCCCCGUUAUAACGCCGAGAGUGGCGGUGGUGCGGCGCUGCGAGCACGAGAAGGUCGUCCACAGCCGGCCAGGGCUCGAGAUCUGGCGGAUCGAGGGCUGCAGCAGCGGUGGGAUCGAUAUAGGUGGUGGUGGAGGCCGCUUCCUCUCCUCCUCCCCCAAUUCUUCCACUCCUAAAGGCGGUGGUGGAGGCUCGCCGGACCCAGACGGCCGACAUGCCUAGGAGACGCGGGUUCGCUCAGCUGCAAGGAACUAGGCAGUAGGUGUGAGUCAAGGAUGGUGGCGAGCAGCAGCGGCGGAGGGCGAUGACACGCCUCCCCCUCUCCUCUCCUAGGUCGCCCCCAUCCAUCUCGCCUUCUCUCAUUCCGACCAAGAUCAAAGGCUCCCUCUCGAUCUCUCUCCUCUUGGUGUUCAGCGGCACAAGGCAUUGGAGGAGGACGGCCAGGAGGUGGUUGCUGCUUCCCUAGAAUCCAUGAGGAAGCUAGAGCUCCUAGCCCCCCUUUGCUACAGACCUAGGUUAAAAAGGCGCUGGCUAGCUAACUGUUCUUUCAAGCUGGUAAACCAUAUGUGGUGGUUCGAAGCUUUUAUUGCAUACUCGUUGGUGUCGGCAACCAUAUCUCCAUCUCCCUUCAUGGUGGUCGCCCCUCCAUGGUGCCCAGCUGCAGGCCUGGAUGUGGAGGAGGAGCAGGAUGUCCGGGAGAAAGCGAGCAUGCCGGUGGCGGCUUGAGUGAUGCAGGCGUCGGUAGUGUCCAUCCCGGUUCUGGGGAAUUGAUUUGGGCAACUCUUGAAGUUUGGUUCUCACAUAUUGGCCCUCAAAGAUAAUGUUUGUGCAAGUGGCCAAUUGAUGUUAUGCUUAUUUGAAAGUCAUAAGGAAGUCGGUGAUGAAGGAGCUGACCACCAUCGAAUGCGUCGGUUGCUAUCCAAUCCAUGUAUAUUGCAAGCCUGGUAUGAUGGGUGGCCAGAUGGGGUUUGAGACAAGAGGCCAGGCUUGCAGUCGUAGUGAAAAUAGUAGCAUCUAGCUGAAUAUGCACCGCUCACUGACAUGCCUAUAACCAUUGGGAAAUGAACUUAUUACCUCUGUUUAAUUUAAUGGCAUAUUAAACAUGGUGCAGAUUGUGGACCGUGAUGUUUUGUUAUCAACAGUACGAUGGUGGCCAAAUGGGGUUUGACACAAGGGGCAAGGCUGGAUGGAGCUUCCAGGCCUCUGGUUUGGCGGUGGCAUGCGACUAUCAUAUAGGAAGUGGUUACCAUAUCCUUUUGAAAGAUGCAGCGGGCAAAAAUUAAGUUGUUGGUGUUGCCUACACUUCUUGACCGUCUAUCAAGGUUCUUAGCAAGCACUUCCUCUCAAAUGCUUCCAAGAAUUCAGGCUAAAGAAGCUACAGAAUCAGCUUUUAAGGAUGGAAAACAGCUAUUGGCAGCUCUGAGGUAGUAGUGUAUGCCGAUUUUGUAAUUGCCUUCAAACUGAAGUGGCGGUCCUGUACUUGUAGUGCUUGUGGAGGUGGCCAAGACCAUGUACCACAUUAUUGUCUUCAUGGCACUCGAUCGGAAAUUACGCAUGGGGCUGAUCCUCGCCUCGGUGGUUAGAGUGAUUCUAUCUCGCAUGAUGAUUCCAGUAACUGGCACUGCAAAGAGAACAGAAACCCAUCUCCACGGCAUGAAGACUGGUGAGCUGGGAAAUGCUCCAUGUUGAAAUUGAAACUUUUGAUUCCCGGUUCCUGAUACGCCCACUUAGGAGCUGAGCUUGGAGUGAUGCGAAGUCUUUCUGCCGUUGAUUAUUUUCAAGGUGUUCAUUUUGCCCCACAGCUGGCUGCGCAGUUUAUAUGCAAAUACCUAUGGGAGCCAGCAACUUCAGAGUAUUGCUGACUCUGUAUCAGUUAGGGUGGCCAGCUACUGGGCCUGUGGUUAAUGGAAUUAUAGUUCUUCUGUACAAUUUUUUUGUAAAAAAGCGGGAAAUUGACUAUAAUCAUUAUGUAAUUUGUUUCAUUC